AUGGAAAGCAACUUGGGCCAUAAGGGCCCAAGUGGGAGGCGCCCCUUUCCCUAUGGAAGGAGGCCGAAUUGGGGAAGGGGAAGAGUGCUACUCCUCCUCCCCCUGGCCACGCACCAAGGAGGGAUGGCACCCCUCCCUCUCCCCUCUAACCUAUAUACACUUGAGGCAUACCUGGCCAAACGGGCCGGCCCGGCCCGGCCCGGCCCGGCCCAACGUAAUCGUGCCUGGCCCGGCACGGCCCGCCAGGGCACGAUUACUAUACGGGUCGUGUCGUGCCGGCCCGCGUGCUGCGCCCCCAGGCCCAGGCACGGCCCAGCAUACCUGGCCAAACGGGCCGGCCCGGCCCGGCCCGGCCCGGCCCAACGUAAUCGUGCCUGGCCCGGCACGGCCCGCCAGGGCACGAUUACUAUACGGGUCGUGUCGUGCCCGCCCGCGUGCUGCGCCCCCAGGCCCAGGCACGGCCCAGUUAGUAAACGGGCCGGCAUGUUGGCCCGUUUAGCACGCUAUAGACACAGGUGGCGGCGCCACCAUACUCGUGGGGUAGUCAGAGGAGGAACUAAUCCAGCCGAGGCGCCACGAGGGGAUCGGCGAGGGGAUCUAGCGCGAGGGGAUAGGCGAGCAGACCCAUCCCUCCCGAGUCAUCCUACCGACCUCAACCUUGGGCGGAUCCUAUGUCCGCCGCCGCCACGAGAUCGCAGGUCCUCCACCCAUCCCAACCCUGCUCCUUCUCUCCAUGCUAAUGGAAAUCCUUGCCCAAUCGCUGACUGUUGUUCGUCUCGCCAACGGGGAAGAAAGCAUAGUUCUGGUCAAAUGAUUCAGGCAAAUAUUUUGGCUGGUUCUCAUAUUUUGGUUCAGGGAAUUUUUCAAUCUACAACGGCUGCUAGCCAGCCAUGGUCUAGCAGCGCUGCCGCCCUUGCAAUGCCCGUCUGCACCAUUGCAGCAGCCGUAUCGAUGAGCCCAAGAUUAACAAGUUUAGAUAGAUGGAGCCUGACACUCUCUGCCCUCAAGAACCACUUCGGUGCUGCCACACCUGGCAGCGACAAGUUCGGUGGCCUCUUCUCUACCGACCAGCUCGCCCUUGAGUUCCCCACAUUCAACGCAUGUUGGCAGUUUGAUGGAUUCCAGAAGGCGGCCAAGGAGAUGGUGAACCACAAGAAGGGGACGACCACGCUCUCCUUCAUCUUCGACAAAGGCGUCAUCAUUGUGGCCGAUUCCUAG
rnacentral:rRNA from 1 species